AGAUUAUAUAAUUUAAAAUAAAAUAUUGAUUUUGUAAUUCAAAAAUUAGAAUAAAGCUAUUUAAUCUU
rnacentral:tRNA from 1 species